rnacentral:lncRNA from 1 species
CGCACUUGCACACACGUGUGUGUAUGUGUCCGUGUGUGCGCAUCAGGUGGAGAGCAUUUAAAAUAACAAGAUGCUGAAGCAUGUUUUCUUUUGAGUACUAGCCAAGUCUUUAGGCAAUGUAUGGACUAACUUUUUUUUCCUUAAUGAUUUUGUUAUAGCAUUUAAUUUAAAAAAAAACAAAAAACAACUUUGUUCUAUGUAGUGCAUAAAAAGCUAAUAAUUGACUUUAAAUCAUGUCGGAGCAGCUCCUCCUGCUCGCUGGAAUCCUUUCUUCUUUCCUGUUUCAGAUGCUUCCUCUAGCAGAUGAUCUUCCCUUAUGUUUCCAUGACUCCAGCCGUGAGGCAUUGAUGCAGGAUGGAGCUGACUUUCACUGGAUACCCAUCACAUGCCCAGCAUCUUAACAAGUGUCUUUGCUUAUGUUAUUUCAUUCACACUUGUAGGACUCCCCGUGGAUGUCAUCUGAAAUCCAGGGAGGUUUUUAAAAGUGCCCGGGAUCACAAAGCUAGUAAUUGCAUACUUGACAGAAAUGCCUCGGAGUCAACUCCUGCUGUGCCACCGGCUUUAGGCAUUUUCAAUUUAAGGAAGCAACCAUUAGGAUAUUUUCAAUGAUGAGAAGAACGCCAUUAAGCUGCCACAAAUGUCAAAAGUUCCUGGCUCUGUUGACACUUAUGUAAUUGUUCUGGAAACCCCCACGCAGCGGAAUAGACCUACAAUACCAGGUAUGACGCACUGAAUAUGUCUAUGCGCACACUCGCUCUGAAGCAUCCUCCAGGGAGAUUUUUUUAUUUUUAUUUUCCUUAGAAAAAAUAAUAAAAGAAAAACUAAGGGGCG